GCGGAAGUAGUUCAGUGGUAGAUACAACCUUGCCAAGUUGGGGUGUCGCGGGUUGAAUCCCGUCUUCCGCUCAA
rnacentral:tRNA from 1 species